GCAGAGGGGGCUUAGUGGUGGGGUGACUGCGUACCUUUUGUAUAAUGGGUCAGCGACUUAUAUUCUGUAGCAAGGUUAACCGAAUAGGGGAGCCGGAGGGAAACCGAGUCUUAACCGGGCGUUAAGUUGCAGGGUAUAGACCCGAAACCCGGUGAUCUAGCCAUGGGCAGGUUGAAGGUUGGGUAACACUAACUGGAGGACCGAACCGACUAAUGUUGAAAAAUUAGCGGAUGACCUGUGGCUGGGGGUGAAAGGCCAAUCAAACCGGGAGAUAGCUGGUUCUCCCCGAAAGCUAUUUAGGUAGCGCCUCGUGAACUCAUCUCCGGGGGUAGAGCACUGUUUCGGCUAGGGGGCCAUCCCGGCUUACCAACCCGAUGCAAACUGCGAAUACCGGAGAAUGUUAUCACGGGAGACACACGGCGGGUGCUAACGUCCGUCGUGAAGAGGGAAACAACCCAGACCGCCAGCUAAGGUCCCAAAGUCAUGGUUAAGUGGGAAACGAUGUGGGAAGGCCCAGACAGCCAGGAUGUUGGCUUAGAAGCAGCCAUCAUUUAAAGAAAGCGUAAUAGCUCACUGGUCGAGUCGGCCUGCGCGGAAGAUGUAACGGGGCUAAACCAUGCACCGAAGCUGCGGCAGCGAACGUAUCACCCAAGACAACUUUACGGAGUUGACGAUUGACGGAGCGAAGCGACGUCAAAGCGUUCAUUAAAGUCGAGUUGGCUUAGGGAUACGUUCGUUGGGUAGGGGAGCGUUCUGUAAGCCUGUGAAGGUGGCCUGUGAGGGUUGCUGGAGGUAUCAGAAGUGCGAAUGCUGACAUAAGUAACGAUAAUGCGGGUGAAAAACCCGCACGCCGGAAGACCAAGGGUUCCUGUCCAACGUUAAUCGGGGCAGGGUGAGUCGACCCCUAAGGCGAGGCCGAAAGGCGUAGUCGAUGGGAAACAGGUUAAUAUUCCUGUACUUGGUGUUACUGCGAAGGGGGGACGGAGAAGGCUAUGUUAGCCGGGCGACGGUUGUCCCGGUUUAAGCAUGUAGGCGGAGGUUCCAGGUAAAUCCGGUACCUUAUUAACGCUGAGGUGUGAUGACGAGGCACUACGGUGCUGAAGUAACAAAUGCCCUGCUUCCAGGAAAAGCCUCUAAGCAUCAGGUAACAUCAAAUCGUACCCCAAACCGACACAGGUGGUCAGGUAGAGAAUACCAAGGCGCUUGAGAGAACUCGGGUGAAGGAACUAGGCAAAAUGGUGCCGUAACUUCGGGAGAAGGCACGCUGACACGUAGGUGAAGUGAUUUACUCAUGGAGCUGAAGUCAGUCGAAGAUACCAGCUGGCUGCAACUGUUUAUUAAAAACACAGCACUGUGCAAACACGAAAGUGGACGUAUACGGUGUGACGCCUGCCCGGUGCCGGAAGGUUAAUUGAUGGGGUCAGCGCAAGCGAAGCUCCUGAUCGAAGCCCCGGUAAAC
rnacentral:rRNA from 1 species